UACGGAGGGGGCUAGCGUUGUUCGGAAUUACUGGGCGUAAAGCGCACGUAGGCGGCUUUUUAAGUCAGGGGUGAAAUCCUGGAGCUCAACUCCAGAACUGCCUUUGAUACUGAGAAGCUUGAGUCCGGGAGAGGUGAGUGGAACUGCGAGUGUAGAGGUGAAAUUCGUAGAUAUUCGCAAGAACACCAGUGGCGAAGGCGGCUCACUGGCCCGGUACUGACGCUGAGGUGCGAAAGCGUGGGGAGCAAACAGG
rnacentral:rRNA from 1 species